UACGUAGGGUGCGAGCGUUAAUCGGAAUUACUGGGCGUAAAGCGUGCGCAGGCGGUUUUGUAAGCCAGAUGUGAAAUCCCCGGGCUUAACCUGGGAACUGCGUCUGAUACUGGGAGGCUUGAGUAUGGGAGAGGGAUGUAGAAUUCCAGGUGUAGCGGUGAAAUGCGUAGAUAUCUGGAGGAAUACCGGUGGCGAAGGCGGCAUCCUGGACCAUAACUGACGCUGAGGCGCGAAAGCUAGGGGAGCAAACGGG
rnacentral:rRNA from 1 species